AACCAUUCUCACCUGCGGCUAGACCUGCGGAGGGAUCAUUACCGAGUUAGGGUCGCCUUCUAGGUGCCCGACCUCCCAACCCUUUGUCUAUGAUACCUAUUGUUGCUUCGGCGGACCGAGAGCCUCCAAACCUCUCGCCUGGCUUCACCGCCGGGAGCGCGUCCGUCGACGGCCCCAAUUAAAACUUUUGAACCCAAAACCUGUCGUCUGAAAACCUUUAUGAUUAUACCUAAUCAAAAA
rnacentral:misc_RNA from 1 species